rnacentral:rRNA from 1 species
GGUCUGACCUGCCCAGUGACUCUUUAAACGGCCGCGGUAUCCUAACCGUGCAAAGGUAGCAUAAUCACUUGUCCUUUAAAUAAGGACUAGUAUGAACGGUUAAAUGAGGACACAACUGUCUCUUGCAUUUUACCAAUAAAACUGAUCUUUCAGUCCAAAAGCUGAAAUAUACCCAUUAGACGAGAAGACCCUGUGGAGCUUUAAACCAACCUCAUUAACCAUGAUCCCUUGGUUUUUAGUUGGGGCGACUUCGGAGAAAAAAUUAACCUCCAAAAUAAGUAGCUGUUAAAAUAAACAUAUUAAACCAGCUUCUUAAACUCAGACCCAGCAGUCUUAUAAACUGUCUGAUAAAUGAACUAAGUUACCCCAGGGAUAACAGCGCCAUCCUCUUUGAGAGUCCUUAUCAACAAGAGGGUUUACGACCUCGAUGUUGGAUCCGGACACCCCAAUAGUGCAACCGCUAUUAAAGGUUCGUUUGUUCAACGAUUAAAGUCCUA